UACGGAGGGUGCGAGCGUUGUCCGGAAUCACUGGGCGUAAAGGGCGCGUAGGUGGCGUCGCAAGUCAACGGUGAAAGCUCGACGCUCAACGUCGAGUCAGCCGUCGAGACUGCGAGGCUUGAGCACUGUAGAGGCAGAUGGAAUUCCGGGUGUAGCGGUGGAAUGCGUAGAGAUCCGGAAGAACACCGGUGGCGAAGGCGGUCUGCUGGGCAGUUGCUGACACUGAGGCGCGACAGCGUGGGGAGCAAACAGG
rnacentral:rRNA from 1 species